rnacentral:lncRNA from 1 species
UGUCUCAGAGUUUCUUAUCUAGAAAACUGUGAUAAUAAUACCUACCCAAUGGGGCUGUUAUGAAGAUUGUCGAUAAAACAGAUACAAUAUCUAGCACAGUGACUUUGAAUUAUAAAUGCUCGGCCGGGCGUGGUGGCUCACGCCUGUAAUCCCAGCACUUUGGGAGGCCGAGGCGGACGGAUCACGAGGUCAGGAGAUUGAGACCAUUCUGGCAAACACGGUGAAACCCUGUCUCUAUUAAAAAUACAAAAAAUUAGCCGGGCGUGGUGGCGGGUGCCUGUAGUCCCAGCUACUUGGGAGGCUGAGGGAGGAGAAUGGUGUGAACCCAGGAGGUGGAGCUUGCAGUGAGCCGAGAUCAUGCCACUGCACUCCGGCCUGGGCGACAGAGCGAGACUCCAUCUCAAAAAAAAAAAAAAUUAUAAUAAUAAAAUAAAAUAAAAUAAAAUAAAUAAAUGCUCGAUAAGUGGUGGCUGUUAUAGAUUGAUCCUGAUGGAAUGCUAGUCCUGGAAGGGACCUUAUGGCGUAUUUAAUAUAACCUGUUUAUUUUAGAUAUGAGAAGAAAUGAAGAAGCUCAGAGCAGUCAGCUAAGUGACCUGUUUGCUCAACCUUGCCAGGGGUGACAGAAACUUACUCACUGAACACUGAUUACUAAUCAAGGGCUUGAUCGUGUGCAGUCAAUCAUUUAUUGGUUGCUGACUCGCUGCCAGCAGACAGACAGCAGCAUCCUCUGGAGACACAGGAAUGCUGUUGAUGAUGAUGAUGAUGAAGAGGAAGAGGCUGAGAGUAACAGUAACAGCUGCCAGGUGAGGGGAGAGCAAUGGUCGGAGCCUCUUCCUCUGGCCCCUGUGCAGCUGCUUAGAGGCAUCUGUGUCAAUGUGCACCGGUUGUUCACCUGAGAAGGAGCUUAAGGAUCCAUUUCCACGUUGUUCCUGCUCCACUGGGCCGCUCAGCAUCCUCACAAGAUGGCCGCUAGCUUCCUCCGGAGGGAGGGACCCAAGAGAUUAUGAGGUGAAAGCCAGAAAGUCUUUAAUGACCUAAUCUUAGAGGCCACACUCCAUCAUUUCAGGUGAGUCCUAUUCAGUGCGGGAGUAGCUGCAGAAGGGCAUGAAUAUCAGGAGGAGAAAAUCAUUUGGACAGCUUGGAGGCUGGCUACACAAACACCUGCCUCACAGGGUAGCUUUCACGAUCACAUGAGGUAAUGGGUAUAAAACAUAUUGUAAACUUUAACCUGCUCUAUCAAUAUUCAAUAUUUUUCAUCUUAUAAUUGACAUGGAGUCG